rnacentral:rRNA from 1 species
AGUGAACGCUGGCGGCAGGCCUAAUACAUGCAAGUCGAACGGCAGCACAGCAGAGCUUGCUCUGUGGGUGGCGAGUGGCGGACGGGUGAGGAAUACGUGGGAAUCUGCCCAGUCGUGGGGGAUAACGUAGGGAAACUUACGCUAAUACCGCAUGCGCCCUUCGGGGGAAAGCCGGGGACCUUCGGGCCUGGCGCGAUUGGAUGAGCCCACGUCGGAUUAGCUAGGUGGCGGGGUAAAGGCCCGCCAAGGCGACGAUCCGUAGCUGGUCUGAGGGGAUGAUCAGCCACACUGGAACUGAGACACGGUCCAGACUCCUACGGGAGGCAGCAGUAGGGAAUAUUGGACAAUGGGCGCAAGCCUGAUCCAGCCAUGCCGCGUGAGUGAAGAAGGCCCUCGGGUUGUAAAGCUCUUUUGUCCGGAAAGAAAAGCGCCGGGUUAAUACCCUGGUGUCCUGACGGUACCGGAAGAAUAAGCCCCGGCUAACUUCGUGCCAGCCGCCGCAGUAACAC